AGUGCAUCAGAGCGGCUGAGCAGAAUCAGCUGCUACUAGCAGAGCGGUAUGGAUGACAACACGGAGCACAACAGUCCGUGGACAGACGCUGAAAUAAACUGUCGACUGGGACUUUGGGGGGGGUGAUGAAUCUCUAUUUCUCAUGCUUCCGCGUUGGAAAGCCGCGUCACCAGCGUACGUAGUUAUUGACGCCUACGUCGUUACCACAGCAACCCAUGCAGAUAGGCUGGCAACGUCUGGACACAAAUCCGAUCUGAUCACUUGCAAAAAACAGUGCGGACAGUCUGUCUUAAAAAUCAGAUUUGAGAAACAAAUCUGAUUGGCCUGCAAUCUGAACAAAGUGAGCUCAGGUGCUCACUAUUGUCAUUCUAGGAAAUUGAGACAGUACUGGACAUCCAUUGUGAAGAUUAAUAAGGGUGUCCUGCCUCUUCUUCACUAGCCAGUUUUAUCUUGUUUUCACCAAUAUAACUUUAAUAUCUAUCUGUGAAACCUCCUCAUUAUUUGCCCCUGUUUCCCUUCUGCCCUAUCUGUCCUGUGUCCCAUCUGUACGGGCAACAGGAACAGACUCACAACUCCAGCAACACAACCAGAAAUACUCCUGUGAAGAAGAGAGCGGGUCAAGAAGAUGACUCUCCGGUAAUAAUGGUGACGAUAGACUUAUCAUCUCCUGUAACACUGAUGAUUCAUGAAUGUUUACAUACGCAGGCUGGUGCCCUGAGGAAAGAAAAAGUCAGGUAUACACACAACAGGAGGAGGAACCGGUUGAGCAACAUCACCUAAGAUGAGAAAGCACUCCACCAGAGGAACUGUCUGGACUAAAGCUUCAAUCAAAACAGUGGCUCACCACUCCACAUUGGUCCAAUGCAAGGUCCUCUGUACUUCACUCCUUCAUUUACACAAGCCUUAUUUUUGCUUGAAGUUGGAACGGACAAUACAGUUUCUCUCUCUCUCUCUCUCACACACACAACUAUAAACACACACAGUCCUGGGUCAGAGAGUGCAGACACACACCAGAGCUAUGUGUGUCGUCUGGCUUCGGUCCACUGGGACAGCUGAGGUACGAACCAGGCGAUGGAAGCGGCAGGAGAAUGCCACAUUAGUACCCCCCUGUUGCACCAACACACACACUCAGAGAGAGACAAACACAAGCCCCCACAUGCACAAAAACAGACUACAGCCGACUCUUUCUUACUGAUAUGCACACAAUGGCACUCACAGCUGAGCUCACACUCAUCACACACACAAAUGCACAGCUGAGCACAUGUCUACACAGGCAGAACAGAUGCAGAUCGCUGGGAGAGGUGGGGUUGUGCUCCAGGAACAUUUGCCCACCCAACCCACCAAUCUACAUUCCACACAGACUGCAGGGUGGAGGAGCUGUGCACAUGUGCAUGCUAUGUGUGUUUUUUUUUUUUUUUUUUGCAAAAGGCAUUUUGUUGAGAGCUUUAACUCCUUCUCACUGGUUGAAACCUUAGCUGCCCGUCUGUUCCUACAGUUACAGUAUUUGCUGCCUGCAUAUGCAGCCCCCAUAUUUAGGUUUUCAGUUUCCUUGUCUUGUUUACAUGACCCGAGUGGGUCACAGUUGGGACUGGAAUAGCAGAUGACUCAUCCCCUGUCUACAGAGAUGAAUCUGACUGUCUGUCUGUCUGUUUCUCUAUAUGUGCGUGUGUUUAUGUGUGUGUAAGUUCACAUGUUUUUAUGGUUUUGUCUUUCCAGUUCUCUUAUAGCCUCAAGGAAGCAGGUCUGGAUAGCAACACUCUGGGUAGAAGCUCCAAGAGCACAUCAAAGCAAUCAUUUUGCAAUAUCUGUAAACCCACCCACUCGAAAGCUCCACGGAGGUUAUUUUCCACAUUCUGUUCUUCUUCAACUGUGUAAAAUGAAGAGGUGGAUGAAUAUGUUUAUUAUGAAACAGGUAGCUCAGAGUUUCAAUUUUUGAUUGAUCCAAAUACUGUUUCGUAAUGACCCCUGACCAUUGUGUUUUUGCACCUGUGCUUAUAUUAAUAUCCUACUAUAAUGUACAAAAACAACCUAGCCAUGGCCAUGCACCUUUUCUUUAAUCCUGUCUGAGCUAUAAAGAAACAAAGAUAUAACUGUAUUCUCACAUG